rnacentral:rRNA from 1 species
UGGGGAAUAUUGGACAAUGGGCGAAGGCCUGAUCCAGCCAUGCCGCGUGAGUGACGAAGGCCUUAGGGUUGUAAAACUCUUUCGUCGGGGACGAUAAUGACGGUACCCGAAGAAGAAGCUCCGGCUAACUUCGUGCCAGCAGCCGCGGUAAUACGAAGGGAGCUAGCGUUGUUCGGAAUCACUGGGCGUAAAGCGCACGUAGGCGGAUAGUUAAGUCAGGGGUGAAAUCCUGGGGCUCAACCCCAGAACUGCCUUUGAUACUGGCUGUCUCGAGGUCGAGAGAGGUUGGUGGAAUUCCUAGUGUAGAGGUGAAAUUCGUAGAUAUUAGGAAGAACACCAGUGGCGAAGGCGGCCAACUGGCUCGAUACUGACGCUGAGGUGCGAAAGCGUGGGGAGCAAACAGGAUUAGAUACCCAGGUAGUCCCUGAGCGGGCUGGCAAGGCGCAU